CGGUCCAUGAUCUUAGCAACUAUUCUUAUCAAGUGGCCAUGGAGUACCUUGGAUAGCCCGUGCAUCUGUGGGCAACCACCACUUUGUUUCUCUGGUAGGGAAUUGAUUGUUGAAUCUGCUUGUUGAUUGAACUAAGGUGAACAUGAGCCCAUUUCCUUUACCACUUCUCUAUAAAAAUAUAUUUUUUAUGUCCUAGGAAACAACUGACCCCUUAGUGUGGAUUAUUUCUUAUUUUUUGUCCCAAGUUGAAGUCUAUCCUUUUUCUCCUACGCCAACAAGUUAUCUAUAUAUUGAUGAUACAAGAUGAUGGAGACCCAAAGACUUACCUAUUAUUGAUGAACCCGUCGGUGGAUUUGCUUUGUUAUGCAACUGGGUUGCUGGGUAAAAGCCUACAGCAAGUAGUUGCCAAGGUAAUUGGAGAGUAUCCAUUCCCAUCUUCUACGGUUCUUUUAAUGAAACUUAAUUUUUUUGACCCACCAACUUGUUCAAUUAAGUAUUUCCUUUGGUUAAAAAAAAAGUAUUUCCUUGACCCACCAAUUUGCUUACAAUGUUCUUCGAGGCACAAUCUCUCCCCUUGCUCCCAAAUUGUUAUAUCUAUGUUAUGUUCUUUUCUUUGAUCACUCCUUUAUCUUUGUUUUUUUCGUCUAUUGGUUCUGUAAGAGGGAAUGAUUGUCAACAUGGCAUUAUAAAAGUCUCCAAGGCUUUUAGAGGUU